AGAGCUUGCUCUCUGGGUGGCGAGUGGCGGACGGGUGAGGAAUACAUCGGAAUCUACUUUUUCGUGGGGGAUAACGUAGGGAAACUUACGCUAAUACCGCAUACGACCUACGGGUGAAAGCAGGGGAUCUUCGGACCUUGCGCGAUUGAAUGAGCCGAUGUCGGAUUAGCUAGUUGGCGGGGUAAAGGCCCACCAAGGCGACGAUCCGUAGCUGGUCUGAGAGGAUGAUCAGCCACACUGGAACUGAGACACGGUCCAGACUCCUACGGGAGGCAGCAGUGGGGAAUAUUGGACAAUGGGCGCAAGCCUGAUCCAGCCAUACCGCGUGGGUGAAGAAGGCCUUCGGGUUGUAAAGCCCUUUUGUUGGGAAAGAAAUCCAGCUGGUUAAUACCCGGUUGGGAUGACGGUACCCAAAGAAUAAGCACCGGCUAACUUCGUGCCAGCAGCCGCGGUAAUACGAAGGGUGCAAGCGUUACUCGGAAUUACUGGGCGUAAAGCGUGCGUAGGUGGUCGUUUAAGUCCGUUGUGAAAGCCCUGGGCUCAACCUGGGAACUGCAGUGGAUACUGGACGACUAGAGUGUGGUAGAGGGUAGCGGAAUUCCUGGUGUAGCAGUGAAAUGCGUAGAGAUCAGGAGGAACAUCCAUGGCGAAGGCAGCUACCUGGACCAACACUGACACUGAGGCACGAAAGCGUGGGGAGCAAACAGGAUUAGAUACCCUGGUAGUCCACGCCCUAAACGAUGCGAACUGGAUGUUGGGUGCAAUUUGGCACGCAGUAUCGAAGCUAACGCGUUAAGUUCGCCGCCUGGGGAGUACGGUCGCAAGACUGAAACUCAAAGGAAUUGACGGGGGCCCGCACAAGCGGUGGAGUAUGUGGUUUAAUUCGAUGCAACGCGAAGAACCUUACCUGGCCUUGACAUGUCGAGAACUUUCCAGAGAUGGAUUGGUGCCUUCGGGAACUCGAACACAGGUGCUGCAUGGCUGGUCGUCAGCUCGUGUCCUGGAGAUGUUGGGGUUAAGUCCCGCAACCAAGCGCAACCCUUGGUCCUUAAGUUGCCAGCCACGUAAUGGUUGGGAACUCUAAGGAAAACCGCCCGGUGACAAACCCGGAAGAAAGGUGGGGAAUAACUUCAAGUCCUUAUGGGCCCUUUACGGGCAGGGGCUACCCCCGUUACUACAAUGGGUAGGGGACAGAAGGGCUGCAAGGCCGGGGAAAGGGUAAAGCCAUUUCCCGGAAACCCCUAUUUCCAGUCCGGGAUUGGGAGUUUGGCAACUUGGACUCCCUGGAAAAUCCGGAAAUCCCCUUGAAAAUCCCCAAAAACACCAUUGGCUCCGCGGGGAAAAAGUUCCCGGGCCUUGUACACACCGCCCGUCACACCAUGGGAGUUUGUUGCACCAGAAGCAGGUAGCUUA
rnacentral:rRNA from 1 species